rnacentral:misc_RNA from 1 species
GGAACUGUGAGAUAUAGGUUUCCAAGGUGAUUUUUCCCAGCCACGCAAAUAGAGUCAAAGAGAAAUUCCGUAGCUCCUGAGUAAAAUUCCGCAAGCAGAUGUAAACAGUUAUGGGAAUCCACGAUGUGUAGGGAUGGAACUUGUUGUAUGUGUUCUUGUCCAGCUUGUAUACGUAUUCAAACCAUAAGUACCCAAUAGCUACAGCAACAGCAACAAUUGAUGUCUUAAUUGUUCGUCUCCGCUUAGGUUCAGACUCCUCCAGUUUCUCCAUCCAUUUUUCAACAUUAGGGUGAAAGUAGGCAUAUAUCAUGCCAAUAAUCCAUAUAUAACGGUCCAGCCCAGAUCUGAAGUGCCAUUCAUGCAACCGAGGAAGAUCUGGUUUGGCUGGAUCAGUGUACCCUAACAUAAAUGUGAAAGGGCCCCAAAGAAAUUCAAAAACUCCAGGAAUCUCCCAAAUCAAGAUAACAACAACCACGCACAUAACAAACUUCAAAGCCAUUACUGAUCUUUUGUCGUUGUAGUUGUAGCCAAUGCCAAGGGCUCCAUACACCAUGAGAGUAAAAAGUGU